rnacentral:telomerase_RNA from 1 species
CAUAAUUUGUUUUCCUGACUUCAGCCUGAUUUGCAGAUAUUCAUAGCAGAAUGAUCAGACUUGGGGAGAACAAAAGAACGGAAAACUCGAACUUUCUUAUGGAAAUUGAUGAGUUUGGAUUGGAGGACUUGCAAAAAAGUCCCAUUUUAGUUACAUAUAUAACGAAAAUACUUCCACUUUCCUGAUUCCGUAAGUACAAGUCAUAUUCUAUGAACAUAAACAACAUUAUCAAAUUGACAUCAGUUAAAUCAUUUUGAAACUUAGGUGCCGAGAAACAUGAUAAAUCAGAAAACUUCACCGAGAAGAAGGUAAAUCAUUAAAGAGAUCAGAUUAACUCACGCUGGUGCUUGCAGGACUUGGUUUUAGCAAGUAAGAGACAAAGACGCCGAGAGCUCGCAGAGAGAGACUGCACCAACAAAAGUCGAGAAGACGAGGGAACCCUUGCAAGUCGCAACGACGACGUUUUUGUCUCUGAGAUUUUUUACUUUUAGCAAAAAUUAAACCUAAUUAAUUGAAAAUUGAAUAAAAUAAUAAAUAGCCAAAAAAAAGAAGCGGGACGACAACUAAGCCCCUUAACACUUCUGUCGGAAAAGCGAAAAAAAAAAAUAAACGAGACCUUUUUGAGAUUUUUUUGUCCGGCAACAGAG